CAAAGGUGAGCCAGUACAGGAUGGACCCGCGUCUGAUUAGCUAGUUGGUAAGGUAACGGCUUACCAAGGCGACGAUCAGUAGCCGACCUGAGAGGGUGAUCGGCCACAUUGGAACUGAGACACGGUCCAAACUCCUACGGGAGGCAGCAGUGGGGAAUAUUGCACAAUGGGCGAAAGCCUGAUGCAGCAACGCCGCGUGAGUGAUGAAGGCCUUCGGGUCGUAAAACUCUGUCCUCAAGGAAGAUAAUGACGGUACUUGAGGAGGAAGCCCCGGCUAACUACGUGCCAGCAGCCGCGGUAAUACGUAGGGGGCUAGCGUUAUCCGGAUUUACUGGGCGUAAAGGGUGCGUAGGCGGUCUUUCAAGUCAGGAGUGAAAGGCUACGGCUCAACCGUAGUAAGCUCUUGAAGCUGGGAGACUUGGGUGCAGGAGAGGAGAGUGGAAUUCCUAGUGUAGCGGUGAAAUGCGUAGAUAUUAGGAGGAACACCAGUUGCGAAGGCGGCUCUCUGGACUGUAACUGACGCUGAGGCACGAAAGCGUGGGGAGCAAACAGGAUUAGAUACCCUGGUAGUCCACGCUGUAAACGAUGAGUACUAGGUGUCGGGGGUUACCCCCUUCG
rnacentral:rRNA from 1 species